CAAUUGUUAAAAAAGUACCGCUACAAAAUUGAGGUGUUAACAUUUGCAUCUUGUGAAAAUAACUUUUGGUUGGAUAUCCUCCGUACAACCCCAAACAGCAAAAACAGAAAAACGGCCACAUUACACGUUACACAAACACAAAAAAAAAAAUUCUUUUUGUGUUUGUGUAACGUGUAAUGUGGCCGUUUUUCUGUUUUUGCUGUUUGGGGUUGUACGGAGGAUAUCCAACCAAAAGUUAUUUUCACAAGAUGCAAAUGUUAACACCUCAAUUUUGUAGCGGUACUUUUUUAACAAUUGACCAUUAGCUCCGAUGAUGACAUUUAUGUCGAAAGCGCUCAGCUAAAGAAAUAAAUUAUUUACACACUUUGA